rnacentral:rRNA from 1 species
UACAGAGGUGGCAAGCGUUGUUCGGAAUUACUGGGCGUAAAGGGCGCGUAGGCGGCCUUCUAAGUCAGACGUGAAAUCCCCCGGCUUAACCUGGGAACUGCGUCUGAUACUGGGAGGCUUGAGUAUGGGAGAGGGAUGUAGAAUUCCAGGUGUAGCGGUGAAAUGCGUAGAUAUCUGGAGGAAUACCGGUGGCGAAGGCGGCAUCCUGGACCAUAACUGACGCUGAGGCGCGAAAGCUAGGGGAGCAACGGGG